rnacentral:rRNA from 1 species
UCAACGGGUAACGGGGAAUAAGGGUUCGAUUCCGGAGAGGGAGCCUGAGAAACGGCUACCACAUCCAAGGAAGGCAGCAGGCGCGCAAAUUACCCAAUCCCGACACGGGGAGGUAGUGACAAUAAAUAACAAUAUAGGGCUCUUUUGGGUCUUAUAAUUGGAAUGAGUACAAUUUAAAUCCCUUAACGAGGAACAAUUGGAGGGCAAGUCUGGUGCCAGCAGCCGCGGUAAUUCCAGCUCCAAUAGCGUAUAUUAAAGUUGUUGCAGUUAAAAAGCUCGUAGUUGAAUUUCGGGAUCAAGGCGUCGGUCGUGCUUCGGUACGUACUGGCGUCAUUGAUUUCUCCCUUCUGACGAACCAUGAUGCCAUUAACUUGGUGUUAUGGGAAAUCAGGACUGUUACUUUGAAAAAAUUAGAGUGUUUAAAGCAGGCUCACGCUUGAAUACAUUAGCAUGGAAUAAUGAAAUAGGACGUUCGAUCCUAUUUUGUCGGUUUUUAGGAUCAACGUAAUGAUUAAUAGGGAUA